UUUCACUUUGGAAUCCGAACCAGACCCUGUGCGUGUCCGACACUGGCGAAUGUCGGGCACAAAUGACCUAUUUGCCCCUCAACACAAAACAUGAUAAAAUAAUAAGGUUAACGUCUACUGAAAAAUCGGCAUAGUUUCCCUUGUAACAGGCUCUAUACCAAAAUAUUUUCACCUGCCAAACAAGUAUACAUAUAUACAACUAACUGCCAGCAUAUGUAUAUAUACAUUCCAACAGUUC
rnacentral:lncRNA from 1 species